rnacentral:tRNA from 1 species
GGGCCCAUAGCUCAGUUGGUUAGAGCAGCGGACUCAUAAUCCGAAGGUCGUGGGAUCAUGCCCCCCUGGGCCCA